rnacentral:rRNA from 1 species
GACGAACGCUGGCGGCGUGCUUAACACAUGCAAGUCGAGCGGAGCGGCGGACGGGUGAGUAACACGUGAGUAACCUGCCUUAGACAUUGGGAUAGCCUCGGGAAACCGGGAUUAAUACCAAAUGGUCCAAGAUGGACUCGCGUCCCAUUAGCUAGUUGGUGAGGUAACGGCCCACCAAGGCGACGAUGGGUAGCCGGCCUGAGAGGGUGAACGGCCACAAUGGAACUACGAAACGGUCCAAACUCUACGGGAGGCAGCAGUGGGGAAUAUUGCACAAUGGAGGGAACUCUGAUGCAGCGACGCCGCGUGGGUGAUGACGGCCUUCGGGUUGUAAACUCCUUUCACCAUCGACGCGGUAGAUGGAGAAGAAGCACCGGCUAACUACGUGCCAGCCGCCGCGGUAAUUC